CUACGGGGGGCAGCAGUGAGGAAUAUUGCACAAUGGGGGGAACCCUGAUGCAGCAACGCCGCGUGGAGGAUGACGCAUUUCGGUGUGUAAACUCCUUUUAUAUGGCAAGAAAAUGACGGUAGCAUAUGAAUAAGCACCGGCUAACUCCGUGCCAGCAGCCGCGGUAAUACGGAGGGUGCAAGCGUUACUCGGAAUCACUGGGCGUAAAGGACGCGUAGGCGGGUUGGAAAGUCAGGUGUGAAAUCCUACAGCUUAACUGUAGAACUGCACUUGAAACUUCUAAUCUAGAGUAUGGGAGGGGGAGAUGGAAUUAGUGGUGUAGGGGUAAAAUCCGUAGAUAUCACUAGGAAUACCUAAAGCGAAGGCGAUCUCCUGGAACAUUACUGACGCUAAGGCGUGAAAGCGUGGGGAGCAAAUAGGAUUAGAUACCCUCGUAGUC
rnacentral:rRNA from 1 species